GAGUAACGCGUGAGUAACCUGCCUUCAAGAGGGGGAUAACAUUCUGAAAAGAAUGCUAAUACCGCAUGGCAUAUCGGAACCACAUGGUUUUGAUAUCAAAGAUUUUAUCGCUUGAAGAUGGACUCGCGUCCGAUUAGUUAGUUGGUGAGGUAACGGCUCACCAAGACCGCGAUCGGUAGCCGGACUGAGAGAGUGAACGGCCACAUUGGGACUGAGACACGGCCCAAACUCCUACGGGAGGCAGCAUG
rnacentral:rRNA from 1 species